GCCAGUGGAUUGUCAGCCCCUGAAGCUAUGCUGUCAGAGUGUGCUAUGGGUUUACAAGAGCAACAAAAGGUGGAUAAACCUCUGGUAAUUACGUAAAAACAAAUGAAUAAAAUGGAUGUGGGCAUUAGUCCUCAGUAUGUUUAUAAAGUGGAACUGUAGCUAACAGCUAGUUAAGAACAAAAAUUGACAGACUAACUGAACAUUUGCAUUCACAAUUGUAGUUUGAGAUCUAACAUCAUUCACAAUUGUAGUUUGAGAUCUUAAGUGAAAUGUAAAAUGCUUUCUUUUUUCGUUUUGAAUGUAAUAUUCAGUGUGAACCUACAUUGUUCAUGUUUCAAAUUAAAGCACUACAUAAGGUCUCUAAUAACUUUUUGGUGUUCCAAUGAUCUGCUGUGCAACAAAGUAUCAGAAAACUUCAUGGCUUAAAAUAAAAACAUCUUAUUACAUGUCA